UUAGAGGAGUGACAUUUGUGACUCUAAGCUUUCUAAAGUCAAUACAAGGAGGAUUUGGGAUUGUUAUUGCUACAUAACAAUCAAGGUAAUAACUUAAACCCAUUCUUAUGUUAAUAUGAUUACUUGUAUGCUAGAACUAGGGUUUAUAGUCUUGGAUGAAUUGCCUAUACAAUAGAGAAAGCUAGAUCCAAGCAUCAGGGUUUGUAUGAGCACAUAGGAUGUUCUUAUGGCUAAAACCCAUCAGUGGUAUCCAAGCCUUGAUUGGUUUCUAUUGUAUUGAUGCAUAUUUGAUCGAAAUCAGCACUGAAAAUCGAUUUUUUAAGCUUCUGAGUGUUUGACUCGCCGAGUCACUUGGUGAACUCGCCGAGUCAGCUGUACUCGACGAGUCCAGGUCCAGACUCGACGAGUCAAAAGGUCUGACAGCUCAGAUUCGUGAUUUUCUUCCUGUUUUGGCUUUGGAUAAUUACCAUAAACAUGUUUUUGUUAUAAAAUCCGAAUUUUAUCAAUAUUUGGUGAUUAUCCUUACCUAAAUAGAAGAUAAUUGUCAAAAUUUAGAUAAUCAUUUGUUUUAUUAGAUAAUAUUUGAUUAUUUGUAAUUUAGAUUUGAAUUAUCUUUUAUGAAAACUUUCAAUUUUCCCCUUUAGGUUUUAUAGUUUAAAUUUGAACUUAAAAGUUUUGUUUUGAAAUUUAAAUAGUUGAAACCCUAAUGUUUUGAAAAGGUUUCAAAACUUGCCCUCAAGUUUUGGAAUUAAAUUUUGAUUAAAAGUUAAAUUUUGAUGUAUAUUUAAAUUGUAGACCCUAAUGUUUUGAAAUGUUUCAAUACUUGCCCUCAAGUUUUGCGAUUUAAAAGUUGAUUAAAAGGUUUAAUUUAGGAAUGUUAAAUUCUAAAACCCUAGUGAUGUUUUGAAAAGUUCAUAUCACACCCUUAUGGUUUGAUUAAUUAAUUAAGGUGUAUAAUUAAAAGAGGUUUAAUAAAUCCAUAAAAGUUUUGGUUUACAAAUGAACUGAAUUAAAAGUAUAAUUGUUAAAUUUGACCACAUAGUAUUUUAAAAGUGUAAAAUACACCCUAUACUAUAUAUAACAUUAAAAGUCUAACAUUAUAUAUAUGUAUGAGUAAAAGUCAGUCUUACCGUUAGUAGGCCUCAUUCACGAAGCUAGUCUAUAAGGGGUGUUUAAGGAAAUUGCCUAUAAAAUGGCGAUUGAAUGGGUAUCCACUCUUACCCACCGCACUCUUGAUUAGUAGAGGGUCGUUAGCCGAACGGGUAGGAAAGGACAGAACUUUUCAUUAUAAGUAUAAUGACGUACAAAAGUAACUAAAUGUUUUACAAAUUCCCAAUCUUAUUUACUUUAGGCAAAAUUGAAUUGAUGCAAUUCCAUGAAAUUAUAUUUUGCGCCCUUGCGAAGACGUUAGUGGAGCGUGUGUGGUUUACCGGCACACUUAAUGGUUCUAAGCAAAGGUAGCAAAGGGUGACUCCAUGUUUGUCAUAGUUCGGUGGAGCGUGUGUGGUUUACCGGCACAUCGAAUAGGUGACUGUAACAUGUGAGGGCACCAUGUAAGUUUGCAUGGUUAUUCACACCCGCUUUGUGAUCCUCGGCAUCCCAGUCACAAACUAGAGGGGCAUAUCGAGAUUUAAACAUGCCAUUGAAAUGUUCAAUGAAUCUCAAAGGAUCUAGGAGUUUUCAUAGAUUUAAAACUUAAAUUUCUUUUUCGUUUUUCAUGGUGGAAAUUAGUGAAUCGUCAUUCACUUACCUUCAAAUAUUCUGCAACUAGAUUACGGCAUCCCUUUUCUAGGUUGUAGCGUAUUGUGUUGGGUCCUAGCCUUAAUAUCUCAUUUGGGUGAUUUAUUAAGGACUCAAUCAAUCAACUAACUUGAAUUUGUUUUCUCCCGUUUUGUAGAUGUCAAAGUACGACAACUAUGGUCUUCCCAAAUCCCGUGGAACAAGCAUUCCACAUGAAGAUGAUAUUCCACGAUUCGAUCGAGGAACAAGAGAUCAUGCUUCACUUCCUCUUCCUCCUCCAAUUAUUCUCCCUAACCCACAAGAUCAAAGAAUUGAAAGGUUCAAUGUCACUAAAGCCCUAUUGGAAAUGAAACAUGAAGAUGGUAAACCCGUGUGUGCCCACGUUCUAGGAAUGAAAUCAUACAUCGAUAGGUUGAUUAUGUUGGGUGCAUCAUUCCCUUAUGAGUUGGCUAUAGGAUGGGUUCUACAGUCACUCCCUGAAUCAUAUAAUGAGUUCAAAAGAAAGUAUUAUAUGAUGGAUCAUGACGCAAACCUCGUUGACCUAACUUGCAUGCUCAUUGUUGCAGAAUCAGAAAUGAUUUUUGAAAGCAAUGGAGCAUAUUUGUUGGGAAAGUCAACCAACCAUGCUUCCGAGGAUGUUCUAGGAGAACUGACCUGCGUUUGCUGCCAAGAGAAAGGGCGUUGGAUACAAGUCUGCCCUAAGAGCCUGAAGAGUCCAGAAGAUGGGAGAGUCAAAGAGUAUGGUUGUGCUUCAGGUAAAAUCCACUAUCUAACUCCAUUAAGUUCCUAUUCGUUGAUUCUUAAUACAUGAUGUGAUAAGAUUGCAUUUGAAUGUUUUGCAGGAUCAAUGAAAUAGAGAGGAAGCUUAAUGGAAAAAGAAGAUGAGUCUAAUCACAAAGAAAUGGAUCUCGAUUGCAUGGAUUUGAAGAUUAGAUUUUGAGCUUAGAAAGUUAUGAUAUAGUUGUUAGGAAUUUUUCUUUUGACUACAUAAUUUUCAGUUGAUUUUGCAUUGUAAGGACAAAUGUUUUCCGCUGCUUUUAUGAAUAGAAUAAAUUUUUGAUAUGACUUAUUUAUUUGUUUCCUUGCAAUGAAAUCAUUAUGAAAAUUAAUGUUUGCAUAUUUCUAAAACAAAUGGAUAAGAUUCUUAGUUAUGUUAAUAGCGGAAAUGUCAAGAAUUUACCAAAUAGGGAGAGUUUCUCAUCGCCCAAGUUUCAAUUGGACAGAAACUUGGAAUCAUGCAACUUGGUUGCACGAUGAAUGAGAAAUUUCAUAUUUGGAAAUUAGACUAAUUCGUUGACAAAGUGUCAAGUGAAAGACUAUUAGAUCGAGUACACAAAAGUUGUGUGUUGAUCAAGUCCACCACAAGGGUAACAAAGAUAUUCGUUAUGAUUUACUAAAGGUUUAGUAAAUGUAAUUAUGCUUAUAAGAUUAAGUGUAAUUCUGAAUUGAUUGAAAAAAUGUUUAAAUCAAUAGCAGAACGAAUAAGAAGAAUCAAGUAGGCAAAAAGAUAAAAGUUUAUCUAUUCUAAGAAGAAAGGAGAGUACCUUUUAGGCUUUAUGAUACGACUUAAUGAUUAAGAACCAUAUCUCAAUUGACCCUCUAAAUAAAUCUUAGUACAAUUGUAUGUCUAAGAAGAGGAAUCAAGAAUUGAAGAAAUGGUUAAAUCAAGAAGUCAAUCAUACUUCGUUCCAAAACAAGUCUUAGAGUUAAGAUUGUGACAUUAAGUGACAAGUCUUAGGAAGGUUUAUAAAAUUCAUCAAAUGUAGAAUUUGGAAAAAGCCUUUCCUAUUCUCACACAUUUGGAAUUGGAAAGUUGUGAUGUCUUGGAUAAGACAAAGACCAACUAGGACCAAUUUUAUGAAAUGUUUUGUCUUGAUAAAGGCUACACUAACUCUUGAAUAUUUGUUUGUCAAGAAAUGUUUAUUGACAAGAGAGUCUUAUAUGUCAAAGAGUCAGUGGGAGUCAUAAUGGUCUUGAAAGGUUUCUAGAACAAAUCAAGAAUAAACCUUAUUGAUCAUCACUAGCACACGAGUAAAGGUUUAAAACAUAUCGUGUUGACAUUAGCUUGUUUCUGUGUCGUUCCAAUUGAGUUAAUUAUGCAUGUGAGCACUAUGAGUUCUCAUUUGAAUGCAUAAAAGGCAAGGACCUUGAUCAAUGAAAAGUACAUUGAUUGGAAUGGGUGAGCUGCUUAACUACUUGGAAGAUAUGGUGGGCAGCUGUGUUACCAUAAGGCAAGAAAUCAAGAUUAAGAAAGUUCGCUCCAUAUGAGUUUGAAUUUGUCGUAAACUUUGGUUUUGACAAAUUCACAUGGAUAGGAACACAUACACCAUUAAAAUCUAAGUGUCAUAAGAUUCCCUCCUUCAUGAAAAUGACUGUGAGGAAAUGCUUUCACUAAGAAAGAUUUUAAGAAGAUAGUAAUUGUGAAAAUUGUAUUCUCGAAUUCGAUUAUGGUUACGGUAUCGCUUUCCAUGAUUCGAAUUAUGAGAUUUGGCAAUUAGUCUGAAUUGUUUAAGACACACAUAUGAGCUAUCUAAGGCAAAGGUGUAUAAGUUUAAGAAGCAUUGAUAAAAGAUUAUCAAAGCAUUGGGUAUUAGAAAUAUGAACUUAAAGAAAUUCAAUAGGCAUUGUUUUUCUGAAAGUUAAGUUGUUUCUGAAUACAUGUCAAAGCUAGUAGGAGCAUAAGUGUUAUGUUUAUAAUAAUCAUCGUGAUAGUGGGAGCAUAAAUGUUAUGAUUGCAUGAUUAUUAAGGCAAGUAUUGCAAGUUAGCAAUAUUAAUUAUAGAAAACAAGAGUUAUACUUUGCAAAGUCGCAAUGGUUGUAAAGUUGUUUUGCUAUAAUUAAGGGAGAGAAUAUUAUGCUUCAUUUCAAAUCUAAAGGCUUAGGUUAUGGAAUGUUAAUAAAUUUAGUCAAUGAAACAUAGUGCGUUCUUAAAAUUCGAUUAUGAUUACGACAUUCCUCUUCAUAUUUCGAAUUGAGAGAACGUAGCACAUAAAAUAUUAUGGCAGAAGAUUGAUAAAGUAUCGAAUCUUUAUGUAAGACAUUAUGCAUCGUGUCCCAUACGCUUCGGGUAUAGGAUCGAUGGCAAAUGCUAUAAUAUUUGACCAUUCUAAAAUUUUCCAAAUGUCUAGCGCAUUUAGAGGGAAAAAGGACAAGAAUCGGUUUUGACUAAGAUAAUUAAACAACUAUCAAAGGACAAUCCAAAGUUCGCCGAGGAUUGGUCGCUUGUGAGUAGUUGGAAGUAUAGUAUUGGAUGGACCAUAUCGACAUUAUUAUGAAUAGAUAAGAUUCUAUUAAGAAUGAGUUGUCAUAUGGUAAGUAUGGAAAGGUUUCCAUAUUGGGAGUUGGAUAUUGAGAAUCAAUGUCUAGAUUAGAAAUUUUAUGCAAAAUGAUGUUCAAAGGAAUGUACUUUGAGUGAGAGACAUCACAUCUAUGGAAUUGUCUUGUAACAAUCUCCGAUAGAGGACUUUGUAAUUUCAUUGGCAAUAGUCAUUGUGACUUUAGUGCAGUGACAUUACAAAAGGAUCAUUGCAUAAAAUGUUAGAAUCUAACAUAUUCCAUAAGUGGCAAGAAUUUGAUAUUCUUUCACUUAUGAAAAUGGAUUAGGAGUUGUGAAAUGAGUAUGAUUGGAAAUGUGUUCAUUUGAUCUAUUUCACAAAGUAAGAACCGUAGGUAAACAUUGUGUGCAUGCUAAGAGCAUGGGACAAGUGUUGUAAUUCAAGUAAGAAGUUGAUUACCCGAAACAACAAAUAAUGAGUAAUCGAUAUGGUGAUAAAUAAAAGGUAUUUUAUUUAUACUCAAAGGUUUGAGGCCAUAUGGGAUUAGUAUUAUUCUUGUGUUUCACUUUGCAUGUUUUGACUUCCUGAAUAAUUUAAUUGGUUGAGAACAGUCAAAUUAUUCGAACGGGCCACAGUCGUUCAUAUGUUGGAAGUAGAUAUGAAUGAAGACUGUCAUGAAUUGGUGUGUGGAUUGUCUAAAGAGAAUUAGACAUAAGCAAAUGUUUGCUGCAACGUUCAUGAGUGCUUAUGAAUAUGAUUUGAGCAUUGGAUUAAACCCACGCUCACUUGGAUCACUUCAUGGAUUGUUAUCAUAAGUGAUUAGUGAGAUGAUAACAUCUUAUAUUCUUGAAACCGAGAUGUGUGAGUUGUAUCUUGCGAGUCGGUUACACAUUGAUAAUAUGUAAACGCACCAGUAACUUGGUGUUAUAAAACAUAUUGUUGUGUGUGAUUUGGUGAGUGAGUGCAAGCGAGCAUUGAGUCAAAGUUUAUCCGUUCCUUUUAUCCAAAGUAGGAUAAAAGCGAUAUCUGUGGGCCCCUCGAUGAUUUAGUGAUGGCACCUAAGCGCUUGGCCAAGCCGGGACUAAUUUGAUGGGUUCAAACUGUAGUCUGUUGUCAGUCGUCAAAAAUUUGAAUUCGGCAAACAUCACAUAGACAGAGUGAAUGAUUUAGAUCAAUGUCUCAGUCUAUACUAUAUUUAAAAUGGAGGAAUAUAUGAUCCCUUAUCUAAAAGACAUGCGUAUCUGAUAAGAUUCAGAGUUGACAGCGGCUUUGGAAAGCUACGAUUGCAGAUCAGGAUCUGAAGUCAUACGCAGAAUAGUUAUUAGACUUAUCCAAGUGGGCGACUGUUGGAUUAGUGUCUGAGACCAUAACUAUUUUGGUAUGUACUUGACACGAUGAUGCAUGGUCCUUUUGGGUUGCCUUCACCAAAGCAACUUGAUAGGAUGAAUUAUGGAGAGAAAGGAUUAAAUAUGAUUUAUUAAUAUAUUAUGAGAAUAAUAUAUUAAAGGAGAAAUCAUAUUGUUUAAUUAAUAUUAGUCAAGAAUUAAUAAGAAUUAAGUUUGUGACUAAAAGACAUUAAUUGAACUUAAGGGACUAGAACUGUCAAUUAUGUGAUAGUUGAAUAUUGAGCUAAUGGACUCCAUAUUAAAAGGGUGGACGAAUUCUAUGGGGAAACCCAUUAGAAAUCGUCCAAAGGCCUUUAAGCAGGGAGCCCAUGGGUUGCUUAGGGCUUAAGCAUCCAAAUUAGGGUUUCCUAGUUAGAUAACCCUAAUAGCCUCACUAUUUAAAUAACCCUUAUGCCCAAAAACGUGGAAAAGACUUCUUCUAGGGUUUCCACACGUUUUGGGCAGCCUUCUUCUCUUCUCCUCUUCAUCCUCUUGCUCUUGGUGUUUGUGAACCAUUAGAGGAGUGACAUUUAUGACUCUAAGCUUUCUAAAGUCAAUACAAGGAGGAUUUGGGAUUGUUAUUGCUACAUAACAAUCAAGCUAAUAACUUAAACCCAUUCUUAUGUUAAUAUGAUUACUUGUAUGCUAGAACUAGGGUUUAUAGUCUUGGAUGAAUUGCAUGUACAAUAGAGAAACCUAGAUCCAAGCAUUAGGGUUUGUAUGAGCACAUAGGAUGUUCUUAUGGCUAAAACCCAUCACUUAUAGCCUCCACAAUGGUCUCUUCUUCUCUUUCAC
rnacentral:lncRNA from 1 species